rnacentral:rRNA from 1 species
CCUACGGGCGGCAGCAGUGAGGAAUAUUGGUCAAUGGGCGCGAGCCUGAACCAGCCAAGUAGCGUGAAGGAUGACUGCCCUACGGGUUGUAACCUUCUUUUAUAAAGGACUAAAGUGAGGCACGUUUGCCUUUCUGUAUGUACUUUAUGAUUAAGGAUCGGCUAACUCCGUGCCAGCAGCCGCGGUAUUACGGAGGAUCCGAGCGUUAUCCGGAUUUAUGGGUUUUAAGGGGAGCGUAGAUGGGUUGUUAAGUCAGUUGUGAAAGUUUGCGGCUCAAGGGUAAAAUUGCCAUUGAUACUGGCAGCCUUGAGUACAGUUGAGGUAGGAGGAAUGCGUGGUGUAGCGGUGAAAUGCUUAGAUAUCACGAAGAACUCCGAUUGCGAAGGCAGCCUACUAAACUGCCACUGACAGUGAUGCUCGAAAGUGUGGGUAUCAAACAGGAUUAGAUACCCUAGUAGUC